rnacentral:lncRNA from 1 species
AGUGCUAUAUCCAAAUCAACUUAAUAUUAUGAAAAUUUGGUAAAAUUUAUUCUACUAUUCACUUUGAAUUAUUUAAUUAAGCAAUUAUGUAUUUGCACCAUAAAAUAUUUCUGUCCAUAAAUACAUUUAAAAGCAAAUUUUGGUACUUUCUUAAGUGGCUUAGAUCAAAUUGUAAUAUUUCAUGUUAAUAACAAUACAAUAUUUGAUCUAAGUCACUUAAGUACAUUAAAAUUAUCUAUAUUUGUGUGUUUGUGAAAAAUAAGUAAAAAUAUCGUCUAAGUUUUGCCUCUGUCACUGAUUAUUUCAUGUUAUUAUGGACUAUGUUGUGCGGACUCUCCAAAAUGUUGUCAUAUCUGUGUCGAAUUUUCCAAAAAUACCCUACUUUUGAGGAACCGACACGCAUCCGGCGACAUUUUCGAAAAGUCCGAGCAACAUAGAUUAUUACCAGGCUUAUGUGACACAAGAAGAUAUACUAAUGGGAACUCUUACAGUGAAAGAAACAAUCCAAUACUCAGCUCAAUUAAGGCUCUCAAGCAACAUGACAAAACAAGAACUAAACAAGAUUGUGAACAAUGUAAUAUCAGAGAUGGGGUUAGAAGAUUGUGCAGAAAAUUUAAUUGGAAAUUGGCAUUUGAGAGGAAUAAGUGGUGGUGAAAAAAAGAGAUUAAGUAUUGCAAUUGAAAUUAUCACAAAACCUCAAUUAUUUUUUCUUGAUGAGCCAACAAGUGGACUUGAUAGUGCUUCAGCUUAUUUUGUUGUUCAAGCUUGAAAUUAUCACAAAACCUCAAUUAUUAUUUCUUGAUGAGCCAACAAGUGGACUUGAUAGUGCUGCAGCUUAUUUUGUUGUUCAAGUUCUUAAAAAUAUUGCAUUAUGUGAUGGAAGGACAAUAAUAUGCUCAAUUCAUCAGCCAAGUAGUGAAGUUUUUGCACUAUUUGAUGACCUUUUCUUGCUAUCUUCUGGUGAAAUGAUAUAUUUUGGAGAAGCCAGAAUGGCAGUUGAG